AGCUCCUGCCACCUCGGCUACGCGAGAGAUUAACCACCCACGAUGGCCGCCAAAGUGCAUGUUGAUAUUGAGGCUGACAGCCCAUUCAUCAAGUCUUUGCAGAAGGCAUUUCCGUCGUUCGAGGUGGAGUCAUUGCAGGUCACACCAAAUGACCAUGCAAAUGCCAGAGCAUUUUCGCACCUGGCUACCAAAUUGAUCGAGCAGGAGACUGACAAAGACACACUCAUCUUGGAUAUCGGCAGUGCGCCUUCCAGGAGAAU
rfam:Semliki forest virus 42S RNA genome